rnacentral:rRNA from 1 species
AACGCUAGCUACAGGCUUAACACAUGCAAGUCGAGGGGCAGCAUGAACUUAGCUUGCUAAGUUUGAUGGCGACCGGCGCACGGGUGAGUAACGCGUAUCCAACCUUCCGUACACUCAGGAAUAGCCUUUCGAAAGAAAGAUUAAUACCUGAUGGUAUGAUGAGAUUGCAUGAAAUCAUCAUUAAAGAUUCAUCGGUGUACGAUGGGGAUGCGUUCCAUUAGAUAGUAGGCGGGGUAACGGCCCACCUAGUCAACGAUGGAUAGGGGUUCUGAGAGGAAGGUCCCCCACAUUGGAACUGAGACACGGUCCAAACUCCUACGGGAGGCAGCAGUGAGGAAUAUUGGUCAAUGGGCGCGAGCCUGAACCAGCCAAGUAGCGUGAAGGAUGAAGGUCCUACGGAUUGUAAACUUCUUUUAUAAGGGAAUAAAGUCACCUACGUGUAGGUGUUUGUAUGUACCUUAUGAAUAAGCAUCGGCUAACUCCGUGCCAGCAGCCGCGGUAAUACGGAGGAUGCGAGCGUUAUCCGGAUUUAUUGGGUUUAAAGGGAGCGUAGACGGGUCGUUAAGUCAGCUGUGAAAGUUUGAGGCUCAACCUUAAAAUUGCAGUUGAUACUGGCGUCCUUGAGUACGGUUGAGGCAGGCGGAAUUCGUGGUGUAGCGGUGAAAUGCUUAGAUAUCACGAAGAACUCCGAUUG